GACGAACGCUGGCGGCGUGCUUAACACAUGCAAGUCGAACGGAAAGGCCCUGCUUUUGUGGGGUGCUCGAGUGGCGAACGGGUGAGUAACACGUGAGUAACCUGCCCUUGACUUUGGGAUAACUUCAGGAAACUGGGGCUAAUACCGGAUAGGAGCUCCUGCUGCAUGGUGGGGGUUGGAAAGUUUCGGCGGUUGGGGAUGGACUCGCGGCUUAUCAGCUUGUUGGUGGGGUAGUGGCUUACCAAGGCUUUGACGGGUAGCCGGCCUGAGAGGGUGACCGGGCACAUUGGGACAGAGAUACGGCCCAGACUCCUACGGGAGGCAGCAGUGGGGAAUAUUGCACAAUGGGCGGAAGCCUGAUGCAGCAACGCCGCGUGCGGGAUGACGGCCUUCGGGUUGUAAACCGCUUUCGCCUGUGACGAAGCGUGAGUGACGGUGAUGGGUAAAGAAGCACCGGCUAACUACGUG
rnacentral:rRNA from 1 species